GGUGGAGAAGUGUGUUCUUCAAUUACUUUUGUCUCCGACCAACAAAAGGGUCUACUACCAGCCAUACAACAGUUACUCCCAGGUGUUGACCAGAGAUUUUGUGUCAGACACUUAUAUUCAAACUUUAGGAAAAAGUUUCCUGGUAAAAAUCUGAAACAGCUGAUGUGGAGGGCAGCUACUGCCACUCAUCCACAAAACUGGGAAAGGGAGAUGAGAAACAUUAAAGAUAUAAAUGAAGACGCAUUCAAGCAUUUGAUUGCCAUCCCUCCAAGAUAUUGGUCAAGGUCCAGAUUCAGUCCAACACCAAAAUGUGACACAUUGGUCAACAAUAUCAGUGAGGC